rnacentral:rRNA from 1 species
GUUUGAUUCUGGCUCAGAUUGAACGCUGGCGGGAUGCUUUACACAUGCAAGUCGAACGGCAGCACGGACUUCGGUCUGGUGGCGAGUAGCGAACGGGUGAGUAAUGUAUCGGAACGUGCCUAGUAGCGGGGGAUAACUGCUGGCUGUCUGUACCCUUCGAGGGAAAGCGGGGACCUUCGGGCCUCUACUUUAUUAAAACAACCAUUCAUCCGGAUUAGCUAGUUGGUGGGGUAACGGCUCACCAGAGCGAUCCAUGCUGGUUUGAGGACGACCAGCCACACUGGGACUGAGACACGGCAGACUCCUACGGGAGGCACAGUGGGGAAUUUUGGACAAUGGGGGAAACCCUGAUCCAGCCAUCCCGCGUGUGCGAUGAAGGCCUUCGGGUUGUAAAAACACUUUUUGGCAGGAAAGAAACGGCGGGAUAAUACCCCGUGCAGCUGCGAUGGUACCACCUGCAGAAUAAGCACCGGCUAACUACGUGCCAGCAGCCGCGGUAAUACGUAGGUGCAAGCGUUAAUCGGAAUUACUGGGCGUAAAGCGUGCGCAGGCGGUUCGGAAGAAGAUGUGAAAUCCCAGAGCUUAACUUUGGAACUGCAUUUUUAACUACCGAGCUAGAGUGUGUCAGAGGGAGGUGGAAUUCCGCGAUGUAGCAGUGAAAUGCGUAGAUAUGCGGAGGAACACCGAUGGCGAAGGCAACCUCUGGGAUAACACUGACAUGCACGAAAGCGUGGGAGCAAACAGGAUUAGAUACCCUGGUAGUCCACGCCCCUAAACGAUGUCAACUAGCUGUUGUGGGGCCUUCGGGCCUUGGUAGCGCAGCUAACGCGUGAAGUUGACCGCCUGGGAAGUACGGUCGCAAGAUUAAAACUCAAAGGAAUUGACGGGGACCCGCACAAGCGGUGGAUGAUGGAUUAAUUCGAUGCAUGAAAAACGCCUUACCUACCCUUGACAUGUCUGGAAUCCCGAAGAGAUUUGGUGCUCGCAAGAGAACCGGAACACAGGUGCUGCAUGGCUGUCGUCAGCUCGUGUCGUGAGAUGUUGGGUUGAUCCACUUUCAACAGGCGCAACCCUUGUCAUUAGUUGCUACGAAAGGGCACUCUAAUGAGACUGCCGGUGAUGACAAGCGGAAGGUGGGGAUGACGUCAAGUCCUCAUGGCCAUAUGGGUAGGGAUUCACACGUCAUACAAUGGUCGGGACAGAGGGUCGCCAACCCCGCGAGGGGAGCCAAUCCCAGAAACCCGAUCGUAGUCCGGAUCGCAGUCUGCAACUCGUUCGUGAAGUCGGAAUCGCUAGUAAUCGCGGAUCAGCAUGUCGCGGUGGUCGCGUUCCGGGUCUUGUACACACCGCCCGUCACACCAUGGGGUAGUUUUGCAAUCCCCAGCCCUAACCGUAAGGAGGGCGAUUACCACGGUAGGAUUCAUGACUGGGGGUGAAGUCA